rnacentral:rRNA from 1 species
GACGAACGCUGGCGGCGUGCUUAACACAUGCAAGUCGAACGGAAAGGCCCUGCUUUUGUGGGGUGCUCGAUUGGCGAACGGGUGAGUAACACGUGAGUAACCUGCCCUUGACUUUGGGGUAACUUCAGGAGACUGGGGCUAAUACCGGAUAGGAGCUCCUGCUGCAUGGUGUGGGUUGGAAAGUUUCGGCGGUUGGGGAUGGACUCGCGGCUUCUCAGCUUGUUGGUGGGGUAGUUGCUUACCAAGGCUUUGACGGGUAGCCGGCCUGAGAGGGUGACCGGCCACAAUGGGACUGAGAUACGGCGCAGAAGCGUACGGGAGGCAGCAGUGGGGAAUAUGGCAGAAUGGGCGGAAGUCUGAGGCAGAAACGCCGCGAGCGGGAUGACGGCCUACGGGGUGUAAACAGAUGUCGCCUGUGACGAAGCGUGAGUGACGGUAACGGGUAAAGAAGCACCGGCUAACUACGUG